rnacentral:rRNA from 1 species
GACGAACGCUGGCGGCGUGCCUAAUACAUGCAAGUAGGACGCAGUUGCGAACGGGUGAGUAACGCGUCGGUAACUACCUGUGCGAGGGGGAUGACUAUUGGAGACGAUAGCUAAUACCGCAUACUAGUAGAUGGACCUGCGUUGUAUUAGCUAGUAGGUAGGGUAAUGGGCUACCUAGGCAACGAUACAUAGCCGACCUGAAGGGGUGAUCGGCCACACUGGGACGGAGGAACGGCCCAGAAUCCCACGGGAGGCAGCAGUAGGGAAUCUUCGGAAAUGGGGGGAAACCUGACCGAGCAACGCCGCGAGAGUGAAGAAGGUUUUCGGAUCGUAAAGCUCUGUUGUUAAGGAAGCGGUACUUAACCAGAAAGGGACGGCUAACUACGUGCCAGCAGCCGCGGUAAUAC